UCAAAGGAUAAAAGGUACUCCGGGGAUAACAGGCUGAUCUCCCCCAAGAGCUCAUAUCGACGGGGAGGUUUGGCACCUCGAUGUCGGCUCGUCACAUCCUGGGGCUGGAGAAGGUCCCAAGGGUUGGGCUGUUCGCCCAUUAAAGUGGCACGCGAGCUGGGUUCAGAACGUCGCAAGACAGUUCGGUCUCUAUCUAUUGUGGGCGUUGGAAUAUUGAAGAGCUCUGACACUAGUACGAGAGGACCGUGUUGGACGAACCUCUAGUGUACCUGUUGUGACGCCAGUUGCAUCGCAGGGUAGCUAUGUUCGGAAUGGAUAAGCACUGAAAGCAUCUAAGUGCGAAGCCAUCUCUAAGAUGAGUAUUCCAUGGAAGUAAUUCCUGAAGGGUCGUAGAAGAUUACUACGUUGAUAGGCUAUAGGUGGAAGUGCAGUGAUGUAUGGAGCCAAGUAGUACUAAUUACCCGACAGCUUCCUUUUU
rnacentral:rRNA from 1 species